CACUACGGUGAAUACGUUCCCGGGUCUUGUACACACCGCCCGUCAUACCACGAAAGUCACCAACGUCCGAAGUCCCGAUUUAUUUGGGCCGAAGAUGGGGGCGAUGAUUGGGGUA
rnacentral:rRNA from 1 species